rnacentral:rRNA from 1 species
UACGAAGGGGGCUAGCGUUGUUCGGAAUUACUGGGCGUAAAGGGCGCGUAGGCGGUGUGUCAAGUCAGGCGUGAAAGCCCCGGGCUCAACCUGGGAACCGCGCUUGAGACUGGCACGCUCGAGUUCGGGAGAGGAUGGUGGAAUUCCCAGUGUAGAGGUGAAAUUCGUAGAUAUUGGGAAGAACACCGAUGGCGAAGGCAGCCAUCUGGACCGGCACUGACGCUGAGGCACGAAAGCGUGGGUAGCAAACAGG